AGCUCUUACGAUAGCCGAGAUAUGGCAUUUUUGAUGCCCAUUUUUGGCCUCAAAAACGGACGUCGAAAACGACUUUUUCGCGAUUUUCAAAGUGCUCUCAUUCCCUUAGUUCUGCUCGGAUCCUGUUAUAACCCGGUGUUUUCGUAAUCUAGGUGACCCAAAUAAGACGCUGGUAUACUUAGUUUGAUUUCGAAAAAAAUCAAUUUUUGGUGAAAAAAUUCGAUACGGGGGGGUAUACCCGAAAAAUGAAAAAUUCCAAACUUUGAAGGUCGAUAUCUCGGCUUCUAUUGGAGCUAUCGGGAAAAUUCCAACGGUUUUGUCUUAGUUUCUUCAUUCAGAAUCCAACGAGACCAUCCGCAAGGUCGUAGCUCUUCUAAUAGCUGAGAUAUGGCAUUUUUGAUGCCCAUUUUUGGCCUCAAAAACGGACGUCGAAAACGACUUUUUCGCGAUUUUCAAAGUGCUCUCAUUCCCUUAGUUCUGCUCGGAUCCUGUUAUAACCCGGUGUUUUCGUAAUCUAGGUGACCCAAAUAAGACGCUGGUGUACUUAGUUUGAUUUCGAAAAAAAUCAAUUUUUGGUGAAAAAAUUCGAUACGGGGGGGUAUACCCGAAAAAUGAAAAAUUCCAAACUUUGAAGGUCGAUAUCUCGGCUUCUAUUGGAGCUAUCGGGAAAAUUCCAACGGUUUUGUCUUAGUUUCUUCAUUCAGAAUCCAACGAGACCAUCCGCAAGGUCGUAGCUCUUCUAAUAGCUGAGAUAUGGCAUUUUUGAUGCCCAUUUUUGGCCUCAAAAACGGACGUCGAAAACGACUUUUUCGCGAUUUUCAAAGUGCUCUCAUUCCCUUAGUUCUGCUCGGAUCCUGUUAUAACCCGGUGUUUUCGUAAUCUAGGUGACCCAAAUAAGACGCUGGUGUACUUAGUUUGAUUUCGAAAAAAAUCAAUUUUUGGUGAAAAAAUUCGAUACGGGGGGGUAUACCCGAAAAAUGAAAAAUUCCAAACUUUGAAGGUCGAUAUCUCGGCUUCUAUUGGAGCUAUCGGGAAAAUUCCAACGGUUUUGUCUUAGUUUCUUCAUUCAGAAUCCAACGAGACCAUCCGCAAGGUCGUAGCUCUUCUAAUAGCUGAGAUAUGGCAUUUUUGAUGCCCA
rnacentral:lncRNA from 1 species